rnacentral:rRNA from 1 species
CAGCAGCCGCGGUAAUUCCAGCUCCAAUAGCGUAUAUUAAAGUUGUUGCAGUUAAAAAGCUCGUAGUUGAAUUUCGAGAUCAAAUUGUUGGUCGUGCCUCGGUACGUACUGGUAAUUUUGGUUUCUCCCUUCUGACGAACCACGAUGUCAUUAAUUUGGUGUCAUGGGAAUCAGGACUGUACUUUGAAAAAUUAGAGUGUUUAAAGCAAGCUCGCGCUUGAAUACAUUAGCAUGGAAUAAUGAAAUAGGACGUUUGAUUCUAUUUUGUUGGUUUCUAGGAUCGACGUAAUGAUUAAUAGGGAUAGUUGGGGGCAUUAGUAUUCAAUUGUCAGAGGUGAAAUUCUUGGAUUUAUUGAAGACUAACUACUGCGAAAGCAUUUGCCAAGGAUGUUUUCAUUAAUCAAGAACGAAAGUUAGGGGGAUCGAAGACGAUCAGAUACCGUCGUAGUCUUAACCAUAAACUAUGCCGACUAGGGAUCGGAUGAUGUUAAUUUUUUAAUGACUCAUUCGGCGCCUUACG